GCACCAUCCUUUCAAGGGACAAUAUGUUAACUUAUGGAGGAUUAUUUCCUGCAUUUACCUUUGGGUAAACACGCGGUGACAAAAGAAGCAGAGCUGAUAGCAUGGCAAGAAAGAGUGGCACUCGAGAAGAGUGUUUUCCCGAUUUUACGCUCGAUUAUGGUAAAGGAUAGAACCAGUCUUAUCUACCAAGACGUGAAAAUGGCUUUCCUAGAGAAAGUCUCAAGAAGAGAAAGAAAGCACAG